AGAGCAGCCUGUGGACACGGGGACAGAGUCCUGCGACGACGCAGAAAAUGGGAACCAUCUUAGCAACGCUCCCGCUCCUCUCUCCCAAGAAGGGCGAGCACGCUGCGCGGCUGUAGGCUGGGCGGGGGCGGCAGGGGACCCUCCUCUUGCCCUGCUGCGCCCCCUCUGACUCCCCCAGACCCCGAGGGCCGACCCCCGUCCGCGCGGUGCGCGUCUGGCCUUUGUCUCUGCUGGGGGCCGGCGCGCCCCCUGCCGACAGGUCUCCAGGCCUGCUGCUCGUCUCCUCCUCCCGAUCUUGCUCGAAUUUCUUGGAAGGCCGCGGCCAUACCGACAGAGGUCGUCCGGCCUCCCUCGGACGAAGUGAAACGCCUAAUGGAAGUGCCUUCCCUGCAGCGGCGGGAUUCCCCGCGAGCCCAGAGGCCGGCGGAAGCACAGGGUUUGCGGGGAGAUCUCGGUGUUCCCCCUGCUUUUCCAGCAGGGCAGAGCAUCACGUGCCUGUGCCGACUAAAGCUUUAGACGAUUGACUCGUUUAACCUUUCCAAAGAUGUUAUCCAAGCUGCAAAGUCUUGGCAAUCUGAAGACCUUUUAAGUCAACAGACCAAAGAGCUUUAGUCGGGAUUAAAUGCAAAACGCCAAAAUUUAACUUUUAAAAAUACAACGUCUAAAUGCAACCUAAGCACAUCUGUAAACCGAUGCAAAACAGGCACCGGUGAGAGCCCGCCCCUCGCCGCGCCCUCUGCGUCCUGCCCGGCUUUGUGCAAACGCUGUUAGCUCAGAGCUUCGGGAACGAAAAUCCUGGGAACUUUCUUUUUCUGGCUGGCAACGUGGAAGUUUGCGCUCACCCAGGGGAUUUCUCAUUCGCUGAAGGAUUUAAGUCCGUGUGUGUCAUGGAAAAUCCGACUUCCUCCCAGCUCAAGGUGGCCCCGAAGAGGUGGGCCUGGGACCCACGACUCCCGGGUCCCUGGGCAGGCCACCCUUCCUCUCUGCAGCCGCCUGCCAGCGCCCAACACAUCCGGGGGCUCAACAAUGAAACAGUAAAUAUCCACACGAAACAUAGAUUCUGCCGAAGAGCUCCACUGCAAUGCACCUGGCUUUCUAGAAGCAAUAAAUGAAAGUCUCAUAUUAAAAAAAAAAAAGAUUAAUGAAGUCAUGACGUAGAGAGAGAGAACACAGCAGAAUCCAUUGACUCAAGACAACGUGUGCAGAAGCAAUUUGCCUCUGAAACUCUAAACAUGCGACGCUUUGGUACUUCCUGGCAGCUCCUCAGGAGCUAGCAAAGAAAUACUUCCACAUGGAAGGAAAAGGUCCUUUGAAAUGUAGCUUGUUCUAUUUGAGAGAGAAACACAGCAAGGUUACUGCGGCUUCAGUGGCGAUAUGCAUUAUUAUUUAUUUUUCCAGUUCGAAAAUUGUGUGUCUUUUCAUUAGGACUCCUAGAUGGUAAACACCGAUCCCCACGUGAAUUGAAUUAGUCCAACCCCCUCCCUCCCUUGCUGGUUCAGGGAACAAUAGAGUAAACUCUGGCUGACAAAUUACGCCUUCAUUUAAUGAUUUGAUUAUCUGUUAAGUUAAAAACAAUCCUGUUAAAAGCCUGGACCCUACCUCGUAUUUAAUCUACAUUGUUACUCUUCCUUGUCUUCUGUUUUUGGGUUUGUUCCCCAAAGAUUAAAAAAAAAACUAUGUCACUUGUGCUCUGAGUUUGAAACAGACACGUGAUCAGGUCUGAUGUCAAAUUAGUAGGUGGCAGGAGAAAGCCUGUCGCAUGAUAGCGUGUUCUGCAGACGGCUUGAUUUUCUUUAAUAAAAAUAUUCUGCCUGAAAGGCUGGGAGUGACUGCGUAAUUCGGCCGCGGGCUCAGACCGGAGGCGUCUGCAGGCAGCUCGAAGCAGAGGAAACUUUUCUGCUCUGAGGUUUCGGAGGAACACUUUCAGCCAGACUGCAAACCGCCGAAAUGAAAGUGAAUCACGCAGACCAGUCAUACUUAAUCCAAGUGAAACUCAUUCAGUCAUUUCUUCUAUAAAUAUUUAUUGAAAGCCUAUUUUGUGUAAGAGGCUGCCACGUCCGAAAAGGCCAGGAAUUUUUUGCGUGAACUGAGACCCCCACGUGACAAAUAUGGUGGGCUGCCCUGUGUGUUCUGCGUGGACGCCCUCAGUGACUGCAGGAUCGUGGUGUCACGGCACAGGCCUGAUCCAGGAUUCUAGGGUGGCUUGUAUUUUUUUUUUUUUUUUUUAAAUCCGACUCCAACUGCUUGUGUAGUCUAAAUUUUAAACUAAGCCUAGAGCAAUCUAGAGUAUGUCAGUGGUAUUUAAUGGAUGAUAAGUGUAGUGUCUUGCUUGCAUGGAAAGAAUAUAAAAAUAUGGUGUCCUCUUCCGUUUUCGGUGCUUCUGGCCGUUUCCUGACGAUCAGCGUCCUGGCUCGUUAAUGAAGGAGGUUUUCUCCCUCCCCCGUGCCCUCAUUCCUACAAUGUCAACAGGGGCUAACAGCUCCUAUUCCUCUUUGUUCAAACAAACAAUAGCCUUUAUAACUAAGAAGAGAAUUAGUAUCAGGUGAAAGCCUCAUUUUAAGGCACUUAAAGCUUUUUUUUUUCUUCCAGAAGAACAAAGUACAGCAGUGGUCUCAGGAAGAAGAGCCCACGUUCGAAGUUUGUAAAGCGACAGAACAAAGGUCUGUCCUUGACGCAUGGACACCCUGUGAUUGCAUUUUGAAUAUUUUCCUGUUCUUCUCUUUAACUUCCUCACUGAAGAGCUGAAGCUUGGGGCAGGAGGGUGGUCCGAGGCCCGGGGAGCCCGCCCCCAGCCCUGGCCUGGGUGCUGACCUGCUGGCUUUGUUACUGCAGGGCCGGAAGACUUCGCUGGGGGUCUGGUUCUUUGCCAAAUUAGGGGAUUGUGUUCAUAAAUGUCUGAGGAGUGCUUCGAAAUGAAAGAUGAACUGGAAUAUGCUCAGAAUCCCUGGAUUCCUUUCCAGGGUGAAAGGAAUCUCUUCCUGCUUGACCUCGAGUGCGUGGAAAGGCAGCGUCUGAUCUGAAACUGAAACCCCUGGGAGAUGUGGGAGCCAUUUUUGUUAUGAUGGAGGUCGUUGGAACAGGACAAAUGGGCUGAUCCCUGGCUGGAAGGCUCUGCAUGGGCGUGGAUGACACCAUGAUCCAGUGAAUCAAGUCCCCCAGGAAACCUGAAGCCGUCAACCAGACAGUGCUAAGGCGAAAGAGAUUCGCGUGGAGGGCAGCAUCUUGGUGGAGCCUAUUUAUAGGCAUAUACAUGAAGAAGAGGUCAAGGAAAUCUUUUUUGGUCAACUCGCCAAAGCUUUCAGUUACAUCUAGUUAUGAUGGGGCAUUUAAGUCCGUUACAUUCUGGGAAAACAAUUCGACUGACCACAGACCACCAAGUAGCUUUUGGAACUACCCUAGAGAGAAUUUCCCGCUUUAGGAUGUUAGAGGACUCCAAGAGAACAGAGGCUGUAACUAAUCUGACCCUUAUCAGGAAGAAAUAGUGGGAGAUUUAAAGACGAACCACUUGGAGGAGGAUGGUUUGGAGGAAUCAGUCAUGAAAUAACCAGAUGCAAUAUUUAAAGGGAAGGAAAAAAAGAGAAAUCGAAAAAAUAAAGAAAAGAGAUGGUCUAUGAGUUGAUAAUUGUCAAAGCUGGGUGGGUAUAUGUGGGAGUCCAUUAUACCAUUCUCUCUUUUUUUGGUAUAUAUUUAGGAUUUCCAAAAGCAGAAAUUUUAGAACCUGCCAUGAAAACAAACAAACCGAAAAUAAGACGACAAUAAGAGAAAGCUGAUGAACCAAGAGUUACCACCAUGCACAUAGUAUUUAAAAAUGUGCAGUCGAUGGUCAAUGCCAAAGAAACAGCUAAAAUGGGGAGAGGGAUACACAGUUGGAUCAGGGUCCUGAUGGUUUAUAUUAUCAGUCCAUUUGAUGUUUUCCUUUAUAAAAAUAAAAAGACAAAAAUAAAAAGUAGAGAAAUUCUGAGUGGAAGAUUAUUUUCAACCUAUAUUUUUACAUCCAUCCAAACCAUAAAAUAUGAGGGUUAAAUAAAAACAUUUUUAGGUAUACCACUACCUAAAACUAUGCCCCUCUGUACCCUCCUUAGACACCACUAAAGGGUGUGCUUCCUCAUGGAGAAGAUUCAAUCUAAGAAAGAGGAAGCUGCAAGAUCAAGGAGACUGGUGUCCCACGGGACGGUGACAGAGGAAGUCCCAGGAUGGAUUCCUCUGUGCUCAGAUGUAGGGAGCAACCAGGCCAGACUGCUCUACUGUUUCCAAACAUGACCCCUACCACCCCUCCACUUUUCCCACUACUCUAUUUCAGUGAAAUGUCAGGUGAGAUGGGAAAUCCAACGGGAUUGUGAGUCAUUGGCCUGGCAGACCUUAAUACGACUCCCAGUGAGGUGUCUUUCCGGAAAACAAGUUAACAGGAUUCCUAAGCAAAUGGGGAAUUGGAACUGUUUUCAAGAAACGAUAAAGGGUGCAUUCCUCAGGGGCAUGCCUGUGGAUGAGCAGACUUCCUGACCCAACCAAUCCAGGUGUAUUUGAGAGGGAGGGACCCGAAUGGGAGACAGGACCAGAUAGAGGCUGUCUGGAGCCCCCGCUCUCCUACCGUCUCCAUGAGGAAGAUGGCUCAUUUCACUAUGUCCCAUGGACUCUAUGGAGAGUAGCCAAGAGUGGGCCAUCAUGUUGGUGCUCCAUCCAAGAAGACUACCUACUGGGUGAAGAGAGCCCAGCAGCAAGAGCCAUGGGGUGUGCAGACUCGGGCAGGAGGUAUCAUGCCAGCAGGGGGCUGAGGUUGGUGUGGGGACAGGCCAAGUGGCAUCGGCUUGCCUACUGGGGAAAUGAGCAAUGAUCCUACCCUGCCCACAUGCAUACACUGAAGAAUUCAUACUGUGUCAGCAAGGGACCAGCAUUUAGACACCUGUAUCGAUGUACACCCCAGAAGAACAGCAACCCCCAACUGAAUAUUAAAAUUGCUUCCUCACAAAGUCACAGUCAAACCAGAUCCUAGAGAUAGGGUCUUAGUGAACAGCACAGUUCUAUAGUGGCAAACUUAAGAAGAUUCCACAGCACAGAAGAAAUAAGAAAUAUUAACGUUUUUCAAAUAUAUUAAAUAAAGGAAAAUCCCCAUCCCUGAAAGAAGAAAGCAGAAAAACAGAGUAUAUUUUUUUAAAUGUUUGAGUUCAUUAUUUUUGCUGAAGAACACUUCUUUCUGCAAACACCAAAUUUGCACAUUCCCGUGUGAGAUGCAUGGAUGAAAAGGCAGAUUACUAAAGGAAAAUGAAUAAUUGAAUAUCACCUUGCAAAGGAUCUGUUUCUUUAGGGGAGCCUGGUGGUGUACUCUCUGGGCCACAUUAGGCGUUGGCAGGCGUCACAAUGGGACAUGAGCCAUCAUGUGAGAAGUCCUAGAGGACAGGGGAGAUCUAUUGCGGAUCUGGAAAGAAACGGUGUGACCAUCUUUUAAAAGAGGUGGGCUAGGACCUGAUUACAGACUGCUCAUCUUGGAAUGAACAUCCGGGAAGAUACUGGGACAAAUCAUUGCAUCAUUAAUUGGCCAUCAACUAGGAGGGCAGAAGACACUAGGAAGGAACCAGUAAAUGUUUUCUGAAAGGGCAAAUGGACUCGGCAUAAUUCAAGGCCCCACUCUAAGUCUUAAAGUGCAGCAUGGCCCCGGGAGAUGGGCCUGGGACUCAAGCACUGUGGGUGCCAGGGAAUUUGCUGGCAUACAAGUGAACUAUCAUAGGGCAUUGUGAGCCAUCCCGUAGUUACUAUAAACAGUGUAUUUAGACACAAAACCAAUUUCAGCAAAUCUUUCCAAAUGUGAAGGAUAAAUGACAGACAUAUAUAAUAGGAUAUGAGAUUCGAAGAGCAAACCCUAGCAAGACUGCCCCUGAACAGCUGGAGCAAAGAGCGUUCUAGGGCCACACAGGGGGCACCAGUCUCCAGACAUGCAGCUAUUUGUUGUGUACACCAACCAGAGGGGCCCAGAAAUGCAGAUGCAACCACAGCAAUCACGAGGAGGGCAGGCACAUUGCAAAGUGAAUGUUGGACAAGAAUUGCCCUGUAGCAUUUUUAUUAUUCUGUUUAGUCACAAUAAAAAAAAAAUAGCUGACGUUAAGUAGAAUUUCUAAUCUACCAAAUAAGUUUCUAAGCACUUUGAUCUUUUAACUCAUAUAAUCUGGUAACAGGUGGGACUCUUAUUAUCUCCAUUUACAAAUGGGGAAACUGAGGCUCUGAGAAGUAAAGCAGUUUUUUCAUUGUCAUUCAGCCGGUGAGCAGCCAGCAGGAGCACUGUCAGCUAAAAUUAAAGAACACAACGGAACUUUCUGUUCUUUAAUGUUUCUCCAACUUAUUCACAUGAACUGUUGAUAUAUCUGACUGACUAUAAUUAAAUAUAACAUUUUGUGCUAGAUCAAAUCGUACAUUUGCUUUUACUCCAACUUCUAGUAUAAAAAAGCAACAGGUAUCAGAGAAAAUUAAAAAGCAUUUUUAUAGGAGAAUGACACAAAAGUUAAAGACAUUCAAGCUAUCACUUUCGUUUUUUUCUACACUUGGGAACAUCUGGCCACAGGCUGCCCCGGACCAGGGUUCAGUGCCAGUGAAGCAGGGCCUGAAAACAAGGCUUCUACGAUCUGAACUUGGGCACACAGACUAACGUGUUUCUGCAACUCAUAGUCUCUCCUGGUAAAGGAAUUACGGAUCUGGUGCCGGCUGUUGGUUGGCAGAACAUGCAGAGGCGGAUCCAAGGGCGGAGAGGCACCAGGAGAAGGCAGGUCUGGUCAGGCUUAGAGCAUGUCCCUUGCCUCCUCCAGCUCUGGGAUAUCCCCGGGUGUUGUGCGUGUUACCGUGUGCAUCCACAUGCACUGAAAUUAUCACCCUAACUGGGUAGAUAAGCCCCCCAGUGGGGCCUUCAAGCUCACAACCAGCGCUUUCCAUGUUUUCGCAUCUCCCGGUGGGAGCCCCUGUGGGUGUCCUCCAGGCUGGGAACAGGAGCCGAUGGAUGAGCACAACACCCACAGCGGGAGAUUACACCUGGACAUGACUGUGCUCCUUUGCCUUUCCCACAUUUUACAACAAAAUUUGAUAAAAAGGUAGAAGGCACUCACUCAGUCAAUGUUAUGCCUCCUCGAGGCUCUAGUCACAAAGGGAACCUUCAGAACACACAAAGCAGUUGGAGUUAGAUGAAGGCAGACACCUGUCAUCAUCC
rnacentral:lncRNA from 1 species